rnacentral:rRNA from 1 species
CCCUCUCAGUAAUCCAACAUAUCCCAUUAGAACUUUGCAAUUAAGUGCGCUCGAGCUAGAGUAGUAUUGGGAUGGGUGACCGCUCGGGAAGUCCUAGUG